UACAGAGGUGGCAAGCGUUGUUCGGAAUUACUGGGCGUAAAGCGCACGCAGGCGGCGCAUUAAGUCUGACGUGAAAUCUCCUGGCUUAACUGGGAGGGGUCGUUGGAGACUGAUGUGCUUGAGGCGAUGAGAGGGGUGUAGAAUUCCCGGUGUAGUGGUGGAAUGCGUAGAUAUCGGGAGGAAUACCAGUGGCGAAAGCGACACCCUGGCAUUAGCCUGACGCUCAUGUGCGAAGGCGUGGGGAGCGAACGGG
rnacentral:rRNA from 1 species